AAUGAACGUUGGCGGCAUGGAUUAGGCAUGCAAGUCGAGCGAGAAGGUUCUUUUGCUUGCAUUAGAACUGGAAAGCGGCGUAAGGGUGAGUAACGCGUAGUUAUCUGCCCCAGGGUUGGGAAUAGCCACGGGAAACUGUGGGUAAUGCCCAAUAAUAUCUCCGGAUCAAAGGUGUGAUUCCGCCCUGGGAGGGGACUGCGUUCUACUAGCUUGUUGGUGGGGUAAUGGCCUACCAAGGCUUCGAUGGAUAGCGGGCGUGAGAGCGUGGCCCGUCACACUGGGACUGAGACACUGCCCAGACACCUACGGGUGCUGCAGUCGAGACUUCGGCAAUGGGC
rnacentral:rRNA from 1 species